AUGCGAUUAGAUUCGGAUGACAUCAAUCAACACCAACAAAAGCAUAUAAAGUGCUCAAAGGCAGACCACACCAACGCACAACGAAAAAUAAAUAGAAGUCCAUACAGAGAGGAAUCGCGCAUUGUUUUUUCCUGGUCCAGAGACCCAGGCCGCCCGCAGCCACCAGAGAUCGCCUCCGCUUUCGUGCCCCUCGCGAACCUCCUUCCAAAUUCCACCAACCUCGAGCCUCCGCCCCUAUAUAUCGCCCCCCGGCGCCAAUUCGGCGAUCCACCAGCCACCUCUGACUCUGAGCGCAUCCAACAAAGGAGUCGCGUCACAGUCUACGCUAGCGGCCACGAAUCGGGGCGGCGGCGCGCUGCGAGAAAGAGCGGAGCAGGCAGCCGCAGGGGAUCAGGCUGGUGGUGGGGAAAGCGUAGCGGCGGCGGCAUGGAGAGCUCGACCUCGAGGACGAGCCUGAAUUGCAUCAGCCUGGCGGACCCCGACAUCCAGAGAUCGGUGGCGCUCCUCAAGCAGGCAUGCUUGGAUUCAGGCUUCUUCUAUGUGCUGGAUCAUGGGAUAAGCCAGGAAUUCAUGGACGAGGUUUUUGCCGAAAGUAAGAAGUUCUUUGAACUUCCGAACAGUGAGAAAAUGAAGCUUCUCCGAAAUGAGAAGAAUCGAGGGUAUACACCUGUGCUAGAUGAGAUUCUUGAUCCAGAAAACCAAGUGAAUGGUGACUACAAGGAAGGGUAUUAUAUUGGUGUUGAGGUACCUGCAGAUGACCCACAGUCAAAUAAGCCAUUUUAUGGUCCAAACCAGUGGCCUUCCGAAGAAGUUUUGCCCAAAUGGAGGGAGGUGAUGGAGCAAUAUCACAGGGAAGCAUUGAGAGUGGCCAAAUCAGUUGCAAGGAUCAUUGCUCUUGCUUUGAACCUAGAUGCGGACUUCUUUGAUAGACCUGAAAUGCUUGGCGAUUCGAUAGCCACAUUAAGGCUCCUGCACUAUGAAGGUGGACAAAAAACAGGUCAAGUGUCGAAUCCUUCUAAGGGAGUUUAUGGAGCUGGUGCACAUUCGGAUUAUGGCCUGAUCACUCUCUUAGCAACUGAUGAUGUAGUUGGUCUCCAAAUAUGCAAGGACAGGAAUGCUCAGCCUCAAGUAUGGGAAUAUGUUGCUCCUGUGAAAGGCGGCUUUAUUGUCAAUCUUGGUGAUAUGCUCGAACGCUGGAGUAACUCCAUUUUCAGGUCCACUUUACAUCGAGUGGUCCUUGAUGGACAAGAGCGUUACUCUAUUGCCUUUUUCGUGGAACCAAGCCACGACUGCGUAGUCGAGUGCCUGCCAACCUGCAAAUCCGAGACGAAUCCUCCAAAGUUCCCCCCAAUCACUUGCUCGGCGUACCUAUCUCAGCGCUACAAGGACACACACGCAGAUCUGAGCACUUACAGCGACGGCAAAGCCUGA
rnacentral:rRNA from 1 species